rnacentral:misc_RNA from 1 species
UCUCCGUUGGUGAACCAGCGGAGGGAUCAUUACCGAGUUUACAACUCCCAAACCCCUGUGAACAUACCUGAACGUUGCUUCGGCGGACCGCCCCGGCGCCCGAGAGGGCGGCCCGGAGCCAGGCGGCCGCCGGGGGACCCAAACUCUUCUGUCUCCGCCGCGGCGGAUCGUCUCCCUCUGAGUGAAGCAAGAAAAAUGAAUCAAAACUUUCAACAACGGAUCUCUUGGUUCUGGCAUCGAUGAAGAAUGCAGC